rnacentral:rRNA from 1 species
CCUACGGGAGGCUGCAGUGGGGAAUAUUGCACAAUGGGCGCAAGCCUGAUGCAGCCAUGCCGCGUGUGUGAAGAAGGCCUUCGGGUUGUAAAGCACUUUCAGCGGGGAGGAAGGCGGUGAGGUUAAUAACCUCAUCGAUUGACGUUACCCGCAGAAGAAGCACCGGCUAACUCCGUGCCAGCAGCCGCGGUAAUACGGAGGGCGCAAGCGUUAAUCGGAAUUACUGGGCGUAAAGCGCACGCAGGCGGUCUGUCAAGUCGGAUGUGAAAUCCCCGGGCUCAACCUGGGAACUGCAUUCGAAACGGGCAGGCUAGAGUCUUGUAGAGGGGGGUAGAAUUCCAGGUGUAGCGGUGAAAUGCGUAGAGAUCUGGAGGAAUACCGGUGGCGAAGGCGGCCCCCUGGACAAAGACUGACGCUCAGGUGCGAAAGCGUGGGGAGCAAACAGGAUUAGAUACCCGUGUAGUC